rnacentral:tRNA from 1 species
CCGACCUUAGCUCAGGUUAGUAGAGCGGACGACUUGUAGUUUGAUUAAUCUAAAUUGGAAAUCCUUAGGUCGCUGGUUCGAAUCCGGCAGGUCGGA